rnacentral:tRNA from 1 species
GGUGUGGCUCAGCUGGUAGAGUGCUUGCCUAGGAUGCAAGAAGCCCUGGGNUUGAUUGCCAGCAUC